UCGACAUUCAUUCCUUUUUAUAUCAAGCCACGCCUAGGCCCACGCAGCCCACGUGAUACCACGUGUGUAAAAUGGUGUCUAUCUUAUUCUCAGAAGACUUUUGUGCCCCAAGUCCGCAACUAGCACCAACUAGUCAUGGGAUUACUGUUCCUAUUGUGUUUUGGAGCCAUCAACCUCCAGUACACGAUAUUACCUGUAUGACCAGGACAGAGGAGGAUAAAGGAGGAGCUACUGGUACUAAAACGGGACAGAUUUGUAUCUGGAACUUAUGCAGGAAGAGAAUCAAUGGAGAUAUUGUGUUAUGUCUGAGACUAUUAUUACUAGGAAUGCAAUCUGGAGACAGGGACAGGAUUGUCAGUUUUAGUAAAAACGGAUGCGUUGAUGUGCAUUGUGGGAUGGUAAAGAUGGGAUGUGUCUUAAGACUGUUAAUAAUCUUGGAAAUGGAAUGCAUUAUGGAAUAAAGCUGCAGGUGUGGGGUCUAUCAUUGGUAAGCUUCAUUGAGAGGAAGGUUCUGCUGCUCCUGAUUUCAAGUCUCAUUUCACUGGCUCUCUCUCUGACUCAUGGCAGUCCCCAGCCACUCCUUGUUCCCUUAUUGACUCAGUUGUCAGUUAUCAUAUUCCUGGGAAUUCCCAACCAUUGCAAUCAUUACAUGCUCAAUGGGACAUGGCCACAAAUUACCAAAUUGAAACUUGCCAAUCAACAAAAUUCACCAAAUUACUCCCUCUAAUAUUACUAGCCUUACAUGUACAUGUACAAUGUGUUGUACCCUCUUUUUCAACCCUCCAUCU